AGCCUUGGAUACCUCUUCUUGUAAAGCUUUGAUGGCAUCAGAAGUCUCGUUCCCUAUUUUUUCAAUAAUGGCUGAAAUGUUCGGUAUUGCCUUCUCAAGUUCACUAACGCCUAACCAAGGGAGGAACCAUCUUGCAAACGAAUGGAAGCAGAUUAUGCCCCACUGGCAAGGGAUCUUGGGAGAGAACUGUGAUGCUUUUGUUCACCAGACAAAACCUGAUUCAUCACUUUCCUUACAUCACCACCCAGCUCUCUAGCUUCUCAACACAGAGAUUGGUAUGGCUUUCCUUUAGAAGCAGCACUGAAGACAGGCGGUAGGACAUACAGAUCCUGCACCAUCACCCCUGGCCUCAGUCAGCAUUGAACCAAGCCCACAAAGAACAGGAGUGACUCAUGAUUUUUUUUCCAUGUACGGCAUGAGAAGACAAGCAGGCCCUAGAAAUGAAGCUGAAAUUCUUAUGCCUUAUAUGACAGCUGGUUCGUACUCCUUGUGAUAAGAAGUGGGGUACUGGCAAGUAUUAGUGAACAG